UACGGAGGGUGCGAGCGUUAAUCGGAAUAACUGGGCGUAAAGGGCACACAGGCGGGCUUUCAAGUGAGAUGUGAAAUCCCCGGGCUUAACCUGGGAAUAGCAUUUCAGACUGGGAGUCUAGAGUACUUUAGGGGGGGAUAGAAUUCCACGUGUAGCGGUGAAAUGCGUAGAUAUGUGGAGGAAUACCGAAGGCGAAGGCAACCCCUUGGGCAUGUACUGACGCUCAUGUGCGAAAGCGUGGGGAGCAAACAGG
rnacentral:rRNA from 1 species